UUUUAUUUCAUUACAUAAAAAUUUUAACCAUUUAAAGUUCUAACAGUUACAUUUUUUCAAAAAAAAAUUAUAAAGAUAACAAAACCGAUAAAAUAUUCUCACUAAUAGUUUGGAGGAAAAAAACAAUUAAAAAAUGGUAAAACACUCGAACCAUAAGAGAGUAAAAAAAUUGAAAAAAAAUCGAAAAUACGAUAACAAAAUUCAAAGACAGUUUAUG
rnacentral:lncRNA from 1 species